rnacentral:rRNA from 1 species
CGGCUCGUUUGAGAGACACCCAAGUAGCACGGGGCCCGAGAAAUCCCGUGUGAAUCUGGCGGGACCACCCGCUAAGCCUAAAUAUUCCCUGGUGACCGAUAGCGGAUAGUACCGUGAGGGAAUGGUGAAAAGUACCGCGGGAGCGGAGUGAAAUAGUACCUGAAACCGUGUGCCUACAAGCCGUGGGAGCGUCGCUGUAUGUGCUUGCACAUGCAGUCGUGACUGCGUGCCUUUUGAAGAAUGAGCCUGCGAGUUAGCGGUGUGUAGCGAGGUUAACCCGUGUGGGGAAGCCGUAGCGAAAGCGAGUCCGAACAGGGCGUUUGAGUUGCACGCUCUAGACCCGAAGCGGAGUGAUCUAGCCAUGGGCAGGUUGAAGCGGCUGUAAGAGGUCGUGGAGGACCGAACCCACCAGGGUUGAAAACCUGGGGGAUGACCUGUGGUUAGGGGUGAAAGGCCAAUCAAACUCCGUGAUAGCUGGUUCUCCCCGAAAUGCAUUUAGGUGCAGCGUCGUGUGUUUCUUGCCGGAGGUAGAGCACUGGAUAGGCGAUGGGCCCUACCGGGUUACUGACCUUAGCCAAACUCCGAAUGCCGGUAAGUGAGAGCGCGGCAGUGAGACUGUGGGGGAUAAGCUCCAUGGUCGAGAGGGAAACAGCCCAGAGCAUCGACUAAGGCCCCUAAGCGUACGCUAAGUGGGAAAGGAUGUGGAGUCGCAGAGACAACCAGGAGGUUGGCUUAGAAGCAGCCACCCUUGAAAGAGUGCGUAAUAGCUCACUGGUCAAGUGAUUCCGCGCCGACAAUGUAGCGGGGCUCAAGCGUACCGCCGAAGUCGUGUCAUUCAUACGUAUAGGGCCAACGCCUGUAUGGAUGGGUAGGGGAGCGUCGUGUGCCGGGUGAAGCCGCAGCGGAAGCUAGUGGUGGACGGUUCACGAGUGAGAAUGCAGGCAUGAGUAGCGAUACACACGUGAGAAACGUGUGCGCCGAUUGACUAAGGGUUCCUGGGUCAAGCUGAUCUGCCCAGGGUAAGUCGGGACCUAAGGCGAGGCCGACAGGCGUAGUCGAUGGACAACCGGUUGAUAUUCCGGUACCCGCUUUGAAACGCCCAAUAUCGA